GGGAUUUGAACCACUGUAGUCACCUUGAUUGUCCAGCAGCUUAUCCACUAGACCACGGAGCUCACUAGCAUGUUAUGUAGUUAGUAAUCUUGGAUAACACAAUUUACUCCAAGGUAGAUAAAUAGAUCUGGAAAAAUUGGUUCUAUGUUAACAUGACAAUAAAAAUCAGUAUUGUUAAAAGUUAAAUGUUCAGCUUACUAAUACAUGAUAAAUUUACUAUGUUAAUUAUUUUUAAAAGAAAAUUAAAUUUCCAUUAAUAUUUGUGAUCAGCUUACCUAAAUAUAUUACCAUAGUUAAGUAUACUUGAAUAUGAUGAGUUAAUCACCAUGUAUAAAGAAAUUAUUAAUAUAUAUUAUAAUAUAAACUGUAGGCAAAAACUAUUUUUUCCUUAGUGCUAACUUUUAUUUAAACUAUAUUCAGAGCACUGUACAGUGAUAUUGUCACGGUCAAGGUCAUUGUAAACUUGAAUGAUCGAGUAACAGCUAUGUAACAGCUUAGUUUAAGUAAAGUAAACGACCAAAAUUCUUAUUCUCUAUUACAUACAGUUUGUAGGUUGUACUAUAUCAAUUAUAAACUAAAUAGCGGCAAUGUUAAUGCAUGUGGUUUAAAAAAAACUAUUAUGCAAUAUAUCAAACAGGUUUGUAAAAUUCCAUUUUUAGUCAAAACAAAAUUCCACUGGGAAUAUUUAGGAAUUGACGGGAAUUUUGUGGAACUUUCGGAGAAUUUGGAAAUUUAAAAAAACAAACAUUUUUUAAUAUAACACUGAUCUAUUCAAUACUUCUUUUCCAGCUUGAUAUUACUAGUAUAAUAAAAAAUGAUUAAAAUAACAGCUAAAUUGACGAUUAACUCAAUAACUGAAUUUUAAUUAGUCUGGUCAAGAUGUACCAUUUUCUAGCUUGAUGUUACUGAUAUAAUAACGAAUUAUUAAAAUGACAGUCAAAUUAAUAAUUAACUCAAUAAAUGAAUUUUGAUUAGCCUGGUCUGGAUGGACCAUUUUCCAGCUUGAUGUUACCAAUAUAAUAAGGAAUUAUUAAAAUGACAGUUAAACUGACGACUAGGUCAGUAACUGAAUUUUAAUUAGCCUAGUCAGGAUGGACCAUUUACCAGCUUGAUGUUACUGAUAUGGGCUUAAUAACCAAUGAUUUAAAUGACAGCUAUAUUGGCAAUGAACAGAAGAAGAGUAUUUUAAUUAGCCAGGUGAGGGUGGACCACGUGACGCAGUCAGAUCUAAUAACCAAUGAUUUAAAUGACAGCUGUAUUGGCAAUGAACAGAAGAAGAGUAUUUUAAUUAGCCAGGUGAGGAUGGACCACAUGACGCAGUCAAAUCAUUGGAUGGUAGUGAUGAUGCACUUUACUGAUUGGCUUGGACAUUUGUUAAUGUUUUGGGGGAAACUUGGAACAUGUUUCGUGUGUUUCUAUUGUCUGGUAAUAUUUUUGUCACAUAACUGUUAACAGUAUUUGUACAGGUACACUUCUUUUCCAUAUUGGUUUAAAAAAAAUUGGCAAUGGUGAAAUGUUUUCAUACAUCUGAAUGCCCACGUGGCGUGGUAUAAUUGACCAAAUUUUAAUAUGCCAAUGUAGUAUUGUUAGUAAAUGCAAUAAACACUCAAAAUGUCACAAUGCUGCUCAUAUUUGGCAUCAUGGAGAUUCCCACAUUAAACACAAAUAAUUGUGUUAUUAAUACUGAGAAAACCUUUAGCAUACAUAUAUCAGUGUGGAGUUCAGCUUCAUGCUUGGCCAAUAAUUAAAAAAAUAAUAUAAUUAAAAUAUUGCUAAUGUUCUUAGGAAUAAAGGUUUUUGUGAAAGGUUUUACAAUGCUGUUAAUUAUGAUAUUAGGUUUAAUGUUCUUAAUGUUAACAAAAUCAUUAAUGUGCACAAUUAAAAUUCCUGACCCAUCCAUAUUCCCCGAAACUUUCCAUGGAAAGUUCCAAUCCUUUACAUCCCUAAUCAACAAAACUACAACCCACAUAUAUUACUACAUCAUACAUAGUGUAUAUAACUUCCGAAUGGUUAAUGUCAAGUCACGUGAUCUUAGUUUCAGAUCAUAUUGCUUUGGUUCUCUUUGCUAGGAAUGACGUCAUAUUUCACGUCAUACGUCAUACUACAACAUACUACCUCUUGCUAUAGUACAUGUAUAUAAAACACUUGAUAUAGCGCAUGUAUAUAAAACAUUUAAAUAAAUUAGUUACGUAAUAAAACAAUUAUGGCACAAUUGUGAGACCGCUGUGUUUUAUGGAAUUCAUUGUUGUUUUGUUGGGGUGGGUUUUUUUAGGGGGAGUUCGGUUGUUUGUUGCUUAUUUUCGCUCCAUAAAAUAUAUCGGCUUCAUGACAAUGUCAUAAUUGUUUAAUACUACACACCUUCCCCAAAGUAUUAACGGAAGAAAGUGGAACCUUCCAUGGCCAAUGUUUUAUACAACUGUAUGUUUUUAGAACACCCUUAGUUUUGGACAAUUUUUACAGGUACCCUAUACAUAUUUCAAGCUCAGUGGUACUUGAUACAUUGGCACUAGAUGCAACAAAAUGUAUAUAUAGUCAAGGCCAAGACAAAACAAUUGUUUUGACAACACAUACUGUCACAUUCAUCACCUAUGGCAGGACUUAUAGUAUUAAAUGCGCUAUCAAACGCAGAGUGCAUUUCGAACUUUGACCUAGUCGGGUGUUGUCUGGUAUAGUGCUACCUUGAGAGCUGCUAUAUAGAAUAUGGUGAGCUGCAUAAGCGAUAUUCAGCACACGUUAACACUUUAGUAGAAGUCCUACUAUUUGAAAGAAAUAAGAUUCACAUAAAUAUAUGAUUUUUAUUAUCUGUAGAACCAAGAAUAAGUCUACUUUUAUUUGCUGCUAAUCUCAAAUGUAACUUGUUGUUUUGUUUUUCACCUACACGACUGAGAUAUGAAAAGAACAAAUAUAACACAAUUUUCAUAUAUUGCAAUAUAUAAUUGAAAUAUAAACACAGGAUCUUUAUUGUAGAAAGUAGGUCAGACUAAACAAGCUACACCAGUCAGUAGCUGGUUCGAGUGAUGAGCAUGUACUGUUGCUCGUCACGUAGCAUGGCUUGGCUUACAUGACGACACUCAAAGGUUGAAGGUCAUCAAGGUAGCUUCAUACAUCACGGACAGUCUUAUUGCAAAACUACUUAGGAAAAAUAACGCAUACACACAAUUAAGGAAACGUUCAGUGUUUUUAAAGGUUUUAAUGUCAAAAGGGAACAAGUUAACAAUAUAUCUAACCGACUUAUAAUGGGUAAUUAAAACAAAUCACAAAUAUUUUGCAAUUGUUGUAUUUAAUUUUGCUAAUAAGAGGCUUGUUUUGUUUUUAUUUGAAGCAGAAGCAACGAAAUGUAUCUCAGAUUAAGCCGAAUCUUC
rnacentral:lncRNA from 1 species